rnacentral:rRNA from 1 species
UAGGGAAUCUUCGGCAAUGGACGAAAGUCUGACCGAGCAACGCCGCGUGAGUGAAGAAGGUUUUCGGAUCGUAAAACUCUGUUGUUAGAGAAGAACAAGGACGUUAGUAACUGAACGUCCCCUGACGGUAUCUAACCAGAAAGCCACGGCUAACUACGUGCCAGCAGCCGCGGUAAUACGUAGGUGGCAAGCGUUGUCCGGAUAUAUUGGGCGUAAAGCGAGCGCAGGCGGUUUCUUAAGUCUGAUGUGAAAGCCCCCGGCUCAACCGGGGAGGGUCAUUGGAAACUGGGAGACUUGAGUGCAGAAGAGGAGAGUGGAAUUCCAUGUGUAGCGGUGAAAUGCGUAGAUAUAUGGAGGAACACCAGUGGCGAAGGCGGCUCUCUGGUCUGUAACUGACGCUGAGGCUCGAAAGCGUGGGGAGCAAACAGG